rnacentral:lncRNA from 1 species
GAGACUGUUUAGACACUACUUUAGAAAAGGCAUUUUUUUUGGUGUUGCUACUAGGAAAUUGUGUGUGUGUGUGUGUGUGUGUGUGUGUGUGUGUGUGUGUGUGUUUUCAGUGUCUCUAGCAGCUGAAAGUAUGCAAGAGCUAAAAUGCAGCUACAGCUGGAGCUAACUCCCAUUCAUUCAUCAUUGUCACUUCACGAAUUAGGAGCCAGCAGACCAUUUCUCUCACUUUACUUCAGCUCCUUUUCAGAACGAGUGCAGAUUCAGAGAAGAAGGUGGAGCAAGAUGGCAGAAUAAUUGUCCCUCCAAUAAGGACAUCAAGUUAACGACUACCUACACAGAAAAACAGCUUCAUAAGAACGAAAAUCAGUGACAUGGACCUGUGCAGUGAAGCCAGCAAAUUGUGCUUGAGAUGGAACUUUACCUCCCAAAGCAACUGCAG